rnacentral:lncRNA from 1 species
CAGGUUAGUAUUGGGAUGGGGUCCCAAUGUGGCAGUGAGCGAGAAGAAAUAGAAUUGGUACUAAGACAAGGUAUAUAUAAUACCAAUUCAAGGACAGAAGGAAGACAAUCCGACCUCACAAAGAUGUGUUGUUGGAAAAGGGAACCAACAUUGCAAAAGACUUUUUGGAGCUCUACGGAAAUUUGUCUGUGCUACUAGACAACUACUCAGCAGGUAAAUGAGUUUAAAGAAGAAAAACCCCACAACCAACGAGCCAGGAGGGAGGAAGAGUAUCACAAAUUUUGUAGGAGG